AGUGAACGCUGGCGGUAGGCCUAACACAUGCAGGUCGAACGGCAGCACAGUAAGAGCUUGCUCUUACGGGUGGCGAGUGGCGGACGGGUGAGGAAUACAUCGGAAUCUACUUUUUCGUGGGGGAUAACGUAGGGAAACUUACGCUAAUACCGCAUACGACCUACGGGUGAAAGCAGGGGAUCUUCGGACCUUGCGCGAUUGAGUGAGCCGAUGUCGGAUUAGCUAGUUGGCGGGGUAAAGGCCCACCAAGGCGACGAUCCGUAGCUGGUCUGAGAGGAUGAUCAGCCACACUGGAACUGAGACACGGUCCAGACUCCUACGGGAGGCAGCAGUGGGGAAUAUUGGACAAUGGGCGCAAGCCUGAUCCAGCCAUACCGCGUGGGUGAAGAAGGCCUUCGGGUUGUAAAGCCCUUUUGUUGGGAAAGAAAAGCAGCAGGUUAAUACCCCGCUGUUCUGACGGUACCCAAAGAAUAAGCACCGGCUAACUUCGUG
rnacentral:rRNA from 1 species